GUAAAAUGAAUGGGCAACAAGGGCAGGAGCCAUGGGGAGCUCCGCUGGGGACGUAUGGCAGCACUGUCGCUGAGGGCCACUGAGGGUCAGCCGGCAGGAAGGAGGGUCAGGGAGAGGAAGGGGAGGCUGUGUGCAUGGCUGCCAAUAGGGAGAGUCACUUGUCUGAGAUGAAGGAGGGAUGACGGAGAGGAGAGGGAGGAGGGAAUGGGGUGAAGAGGCAAAGAAUUUUCCAGUAGAAGGGAGGCCAGCUGGGAGGGCUGUAUGUGCAUCUCCCUGCCUGUUCAUUAUAAGCCCAAAUAUUCGGAUGUGCUUCAUCACCUACUCCACAGACGGCCAGACUGUCUUGCCACUCACCUCAGACAAGUGAGUGCUGCUUUGAGCCCCAAAGGGAGGCCUGAUGAGCUUGGCCAGAGGGAGCUCCAGGGAGCUGAAGGGCUCCCGGAGACCUUGGUUGGGAGCCUGACAGCACACAGGGCAGGCCGGUCAGGGCAACUCACAGUACCCACCUGACCUUAGCCCCGGCUCCCCUGCAUCCUCCUACCCAUGGCUGCAAGGUUACCUGCAGGCCCCUGU
rnacentral:lncRNA from 10 species